CGACCCGCGUUCCCCCCGUCGCCGCCAGCCGCGGGCGCUCGGGGUUUUAGCGGCGUCGCAGAGAAAGCGGCGGCUCUUUCUUCACCCGGCGGAGCCAGACCGGGGGUCUGGUGGCUCCGCCGGAAUUUGGGGAGUCGCAUAAAU
rnacentral:snoRNA from 1 species